rnacentral:rRNA from 1 species
CCUACGGGAGGCAGCAGUGAGGAAUAUUGGUCAAUGGUCGGGAGACUGAACCAGCCAAGCCGCGUGAGGGAUGAAGGUACAGAGUAUCGUAAACCUCUUUUGUCAGGGAACAAAGGCGGGGACGUGUCCCCGGAUGAGUGUACCUGAAGAAAAAGCAUCGGCUAACUCCGUGCCAGCAGCCGCGGUAAUACGGAGGAUGCGAGCGUUAUCCGGAUUUAUUGGGUUUAAAGGGUGCGGAGGCGGUAUGUUAAGUCAGGGGUUAAAGCCCGGGGCUCAACCCCGGCCGCGCGGUUGAACCUGGCAGUCUCGAGUAGAGGAGAGGUAUGCGGAAUGCGCGGUGUAGCGGUGAAAUGCAUAGAUAUCACGAAGAACUCCGAUUGCGAAGGCAGCAUGCCGGCUCCACACUGACGCUGAGGCACGAAAGCGUGGGUAUCGAACAGGAUUAGAUACCCCGGUAGUC